AGUACAUAGUACCGGGAUUCAUACGGCAUGUAGGUAGCUGCCAGCAGACAGCAGCAGUGCCAGUGCCGCGAUUUACGCUAUUCGGUACGGGGACAUCCCGUUCUGUGCAAAUGGUUGUUGGCCGUUGGCUUCAGCAGCUCUGUACUUCCGCGCGGGAUGCUGCACAACGAACGAAUGUUCGGAAGGGGACCGAGCUGAGGCAAAAUAGAACGGGAAUAUGGAAAUGCGGCUCUGUUCGCCCGCUGGAGGUAGGUAGCUUCUUGUGAGGAUGUUUCGCGAGGAAAAAUUGCUGCAUGUUAAGCCUAUGAUAACGAGACGGAAUCUGCCCAAUCAUGUCUUGAGUUACGAGAAGGCUUAUCUUCUCAAGAUGUUUUGUUUCCUGGAUGGGGACGACGGAGCCAUACCCCGAUGAAGUGAGGAUACGAUAUGCAAUGAAGAUUCUUUGGUUUAUUGUGAUGUUUGUUUUAAUAAUGGCGUCAAAGCUCUGAUGGAAAGUUGAAGAGUAAACCUUGUAUCGCAAUCGAAUAUAAACAA